GCUACGGGAGGCUGCAGUGGGGAAUAUUGGACAAUGGGGGGAACCCUGAUCCAGCGACGCCGCGUGAGUGAAGAAGUAUUUCGGGAUGUAAAGCUCUAUCAGCAGGGAAGAAAAUGACGGUACCUGACUAAGAAGCCACGGCUAACUACGUGCCAGCAGCCGCGGUAAGACGUAGGGGGCAAGCGUUAUCCGGAUUUACUGGGUGUAAAGGGAGCGUAGACGGUGCAGCACGUCUGAUGUGAAAGGUCGGGGCCCAACCCCGGGACUGCAUUGGAAACGGUUGAACUGGAGUACAGGAGAGGUAAGCGUAAUUCCUAGUGUAGCGGUGAACUGCGUCGAUAUUAGGAGGAACCCCAGUGGCGACGGCGGCUUACUGGACUGUAACUGCCGUUGCGGCUCGAAAGCGUGGGGAGCAAACAGGAUUAGAUACCCUAGUAGUC
rnacentral:rRNA from 1 species